rnacentral:rRNA from 1 species
UACAUGUGGGGCAAGCGUUGUUCGGAAUUACUGGGCAUAAAGGGCUCGUAGGCGGUCUGUUGCGUCAGGAGUGAAAACUCGGGGCUUAACCCCGAGCCUGCUUCUGAUACGGGCAGACUAGAGGUAUGCAGGGGAGAACGGAAUUCCUGGUGUAGCGGUGAAAUGCGCAGAUAUCAGGAGGAACACCGGUGGCGAAGGCGGUUCUCUGGGCAUUACCUGACGCUGAGGAGCGAAAGUGUGGGGAGCGAACAGG